GACGAACGCUGGCGGUAUGCUUAACACAUGCAAGUCGAACGAGAAGUUUUUUAUUGAACCUUCGGGGGAUAUAAGAGACAGACAGUGGCGAACGGGUGAGUAACGCGUGGGCAACCUACCUAUCGGAGCGGGAUAGCCUCGAGAAAUCGGGAGUAAAACCGCAUAACACGGAUAUAUCGCAUGAUGAAUCCGUCAAAACUCCGGUGCCGAUAGAUGGGCCCGCGUCUGAUUAGCUAGUUGGUAAGGUAAGGGCUUACCAAGGCAACGAUCAGUAGCCGGUCUGAGAGGGCGAACGGCCACACUGGAACUGAGACACGGUCCAGACUCCUACGGGAGGCAGCAGUGGGGAAUAUUGCGCAAUGGGGGCAACCCUGACGCAGCAAUACCGCGU
rnacentral:rRNA from 1 species